CUCUGUUCCCCUCGGCUGUGCCUAACCCUCAGAACUAGGCCACAUCCAGCACCACCCAGCGUAACAGACCUUCCCUCUUUUCUGUUUACUCCAGGUGUUGGUCAAGAGCAGGAUCUGAGAGUUGGGGAAGAAUCAGGGGAGAGGGAGAGUUGAGCCUCAGCCUGCGUCUCUAAAUGCCUCUUUCUAUUCCACAGGUUCUGGUGAUAUGGACGGAUUGUCAAAGAAUUCCCCAAACAACAUGACCGGGCUGAGCAAUCCUCCGGGAACUCCGCGUGACGAUGGCGAGAUGACAGGCAACUUCUUAAACCCAUUCCAAAAUGAAAGUUACUCCCCCAGUAUGACAAUGAGCGUGUGACCGAACCCUCUGAAUCCCCUCAUCCGACCCUCAUGCAAACCUGCUGGAAAUGACAAGAAACUAUUCACGUGCGAGGCCAAUCCCAUUCGAAAAAAAUAAUAUUUAAUGGACAAUUACUUGAGCAGCAGAGUUUGGUGCUCCAACGCUGUAGGAAAACCUCAGGAGUUUAUAUGCUGCUCGUGGAAGCCUGCUGGAGGAACCAAAGUGGUCACUUUUACACAAUGGGGAAGGAUGAGGUGGGACACAAGGGAGGAGGGGAUAACAGAAUGAACGAGUGGUGCAGGGUGAUCAAAGACAUUUUACUGUUUUAAGACAUGUUUUUUGUAUGAAAAAUGUUGUGCAUUCAGAUAAGAAGAUAACAAAAUCAAGGUCUCAACCUGGAGCAGGCUUGAGCAAGUGCACUGUACGAGUAUUUCAGUUAUUAAGUGAUGUGUUUUAUCGAACACUAUCCUUUCACUGACUCAAUGAUUCCAAUUAACCUCUUUGAAAUGAGGUGGAGUGGGGAGGGAGCUCCUUGUAACAUGUAAUGAUCUGGGGUUUCUCCUCCAGCUCAGUGAUGUCUAUGGGCGUGAAGCCUGUGAUGUGGCACUGCUAGGGAUCGAAGCCAAGCAGAGCUCCUCAGCUAGUGUGACCUCUUGAUAACCCACCCACUGAAAGCAGAACUCCUCUCUUAGCAGGGCACUGGCUUGGUAUUUUGGCAUUGGAUGAGUGCCACAGGUUCCCCCAUAUUUUCAUGAUUAUAUGAGACAGUGAUGUGCACCAAAAUCCUGCUGUCUGUCUGUCUCUCUCUCCUCUCCCUAUCCCGGUGUUCUCCGUUAUAGAAAGGAUUGAGCCUGUCACAAUGGACAAAGGGGAGUCUGUUAGCAAAAAGUCUUGUCACAGACAAUUUCAGAAACAUUUCCUGGGAAGAAAAUUGGUGGCAGUGAGAUGGCCCAAAACUGCUGUUGCUGCUCCGUCUCUUAACAACCAAAGAAACGGAGUAUUUGGCUGUCUGCUGGUGUGAGAACCUCAUUUUGCAAUGGUUUAACUGUCCCUGGUUGGCCUAGCAAGCUUUCCAGUUCAGUCACUGCUCUUUCCAGAGGAUCUCACUCCUUGUCACUGCCACUUCCUUCCUCUGCUUUGACUGAAGGAUCUCAACCCCCAACCUCAUCUCAAAAUCACAAAAUAAAAACAGAAAAUGCAGGUCUGGCAGCAUCUGUGGAGAGAGAAAUAGAGUUAAUGUUUCGAGUCUGUACGACUCCUCUUCAGAACCACGAGUUUGCUGUAAAUUUAAUCCAGGCUCCUGUGCUUGUUUUGAUAUUUGGGAAUGAAAAUUGACAAAAUUGUAGAUCGUUGAUGGUUUUAUGUCUUGGAGCACAAAGGACGUAUUGUACCUGAGCUUUUCUGAAAAAGGGAUCCUCAUGAGGGUUUCUCCCAACACCAUUUCCCUGAGUUGGUUGGUGAAUCAUCGCAGCUGAUGAUUGAGAGGGUUUCUGGUGUACCCUCUGUUCUGUGCUGAGAUCAGUCCGAAGACGUGUCCUGAAACCUUGUGGGUGAAAACUUUCUGGAGAAGCACCAGACUUGUCCUUUGGGGACAGCUUCAUGUGAGAGAGAUGUGAAUCAAUGAGGUGUAGCUUACCAGAGCACAAAUUUGCUUCCUACCAGCCCCUAAUGCAGGUACUCAAAGCAUCCUUGUAAAUAUUGUAACCGUUUAUAAGUUCUGUCAUUCAGUCAGUGGAACCAGUUCCAUGGGGCGUUCCAGGGGUAGGGGUGGCUCUGUAUUUCCUCACCUCACUGUGGCAAUGAUCGACUGCUGCUGAAUUGCACAUUUUCAAGAAAAGUAUUUGGCCUCACUAUUACAUCUGUAAGUGUUUCACAAACGGUGUCUUCACUGUUACUCAACUGUCAAUAAGACAGUUUCCCUUGUGCCUAACAGGAUCUCACAAACAGCAAGGGGGAUCAAGUAAUGUGCUGGUAUUGGUUAAGUUGAUAAUGUUGGACAGGACACUGGGAGAGAUUCCUUCUCUUCCAGUGUGUCCUUGGGAUCUUUAACAUUCAUCAAAGACUCACCAGGACAGAGAGAUGCAGAUCAGUCCAAAGGACAUUGAUUAAUACCACAGGCCCAGUAGAGCAUGUUCAUAGCAAAGUGAAACUUGGCUUUUCAACCAUGGGAGGGGAUUAUUGUGGAGGCUUCAUUGAGUUGUACAGGAUUUUAAAUUGUAUGUAAACUGUAAAUCCGAAUGUUCUUUCAAUAAAAUGGUACAGGGUCCAAGCAGGGAAAAGGUUGAUUUAAGACCAAUCAUGCAUAGCCUCUCCAUUGGGGAGUUGAGGGAAACCCUUGGAACAAUUUAAGAAACAGUUGAAUGAAGGGAUGGGAGAUUGGGAACUAACAAGAGUUUCUGGUUAGAUGGGGUGAAUGGUCUCUUUUGCCCAGAUGGAAAAACUGACAGGUUUCCCAGGGUAUGUAAAAUACUUUUCUUCAGAUUAUUCCAUGUAACAGACAAUCCCAGUGGACUGAUGUUGUGUCUACUGGGAAUUAAUUAUUCCUCUGAUCGAUCCCCUGGCUCUCAUGUGGUAGUUGCUACUGAUCCAAUUCUUGUGAAUAAAGCUGUGUGCCAUUCACAAGAUUCAUUAAGGUUUUUCACUACUUAUUAUUCAGUAUGGUCACUGAGCUAAAUGGAUCAGGAUCAACUGCUGAUCAUUGAUUCCUUGAUCACUGCCCUCAGUGCUGUUGUGAAGUCUUAAAAAUGGUUUGUUCUGUCUUUCUCUCUCACUCUCCAGCUCUGCUUCUCCUGCAUGCCCCAGCUCUCCAUCUUGUUUGUGCACAUGCUUUUGCACAGUCCCUUAUGCACUUUGAUGUUUCCUUUCACACACUCCCAUGCUCUUUCAUACUUUCACAUUUCAUGAUGGUUCUGUCUUUCUCCUGUGGGAAGGUGCAGAGAGCCAAUGCUCACGUGGUGCUAAAAUUCAAGUUUUAGCUUCAAACUUCCCUCAGUGGAAUUGACUGCACUUUUCAUGUUUGAUUGUCUGUCCAUUCCUCAGGUUCUGACACUGGGGGAAGUGAUUGAGAUUUCAAUCUUGGAAACGCCUGCCUCAUAUUCUCCCCCACCCAGAGCACAUGUUGCCAUGUUAUCAAUAACUUGUACAGGGCCGUUCUGGCAGGUAGGAGACAUUGGGGUGUUGCAUUUCAGUAAUGUAUUAGUGAGUAAUGCCAAGAGAGCAUUGCAUUAAAAAUCCAUCCAUAAUGCCCUGAUUAUGUGGAGAAGGGGCUCCAGUGAGUGAAUACACUCCCCAGUGUCGUACUUAUCUGAAAGGAUCAUAGAGCUGACGCAAUGAUCGCUGGACUCACGUAGGAGUUUCACUCUGCUUCAGCAUCAAUGUUAUGGGAUGGGAGGGUGGUGGUUUAAAGCAGGCAGGGCUUCUCACCAUUCUCCUGCCCAUCCCCCUGUCCCACCCCGACUCCACUGUCCAGUAGUCCUGGCUGGAAACCUGUGUGUGUGUGGGCAUCAAGCUGCAGGACAUACUGUGAUAUCCUUCUUAAUCACAUAACCUGCCAAUUGCCUCUAUCCUAGGUUCAGAAGGAAAAGUGGGGAGUUCCUGCAGGAAGCCCUCUCCCAGUAUCUCAUACUCCAGCCAGAGUUGGCACAUUUUAAAUGAGGGGUGAGAGGGAUAAGAGAAUAUUGUGGUGUGCAUCAGACCAGAUAACCUUUUAAAAUAAGUUUGUGUCAUGGUUAUAUAAAAUACAAAUUUGCCACUUGACACCAAGAAGGACCUCAGUCAAGCUCUGACCCUCUUGUUUAAUUAGAUAUAUUUUUUUAAAUAUCUGUUAUAACACUGUACAGCCCCAUAUUCCCGCUGUCUGCCAAUUGAUGUAUAAUUGCAUUAAAACCUUGUGUUAAAUCAUGACAGUAUUGAACACAAAAGUUGGCUCCUGCCCACAGCAGUUUGCUGAUCCCAAUCCCAGGGCCAUGGUUUGCUAUAGUCGUUCUGUGUAGUAUAUAUAUUGUCAUCUGUAUGUUCUUUAUAUAUUGUAAAGAUUCUUUAGAUGGUCAGUUGCAUAUUAAACUGCAUCAA